rnacentral:rRNA from 1 species
GACGAACGCUGGCGGCGUGCUUAACACAUGCAAGUCGAACGGAAAGGCCCUGCUUUUGUGGGGUGCUCGAGUGGCGAACGGGUGAGUAACACGUGAGUAACCUGCCCUUGACUUUGGGAUAACUUCAGGAAACUGGGGCUAAUACCGGAUAGGAGCUCCUGCUGCAUGGUGGGGGUUGGAAAGUUUCGGCGGUUGGGGAUGGACUCGCGGCUUAUCAGCUUGUUGGUGGGGUAGUGGCUUACCAAGGCUUUGACGGGUAGCCGGCCUGAGAGGGUGACCGGCCACAUUGGGACUGAGACACGGCCCAGACUCCUACGGGAGGCAGCAGUGGGGAAUAUUGCACAAUGGGCGGAAGCCUGAUGCAGCAACGCCGCGUGCGGGACGACGGCCGUCGGGUUGUAAACCGCUUUCGCCUGUGACGAAGCGUGAGUGACGGUAAUGGGUAAAGAAGCACCGGCUAACUACGUG